rnacentral:rRNA from 1 species
GAGUUUGAUCGUGGCUCAGAUUGAACGCUGGCGGCAUGCCUUACACAUGCAAGUCGAACGGCAGCACGGGAGCUUGCUCCUGGUGGCGAGUGGCGAACGGGUGAGUAAUGCGUCGGAACGUAUCCUGGAGUGGGGGAUAACGUAGCGAAAGUUACGCUAAUACCGCAUAUUCUGUGAGCAGGAAAGCGGGGGACCUUCGGGCCUCGCGCUCUUGGAGCGGCCGAUGUCGGAUUAGCUAGUUGGUGAGGUAAAGGCUCACCAAGGCGACGAUCCGUAGCAGGUCUGAGAGGAUGAUCUGCCACACUGGAACUGAGACACGGUCCAGACUCCUACGGGAGGCAGCAGUGGGGAAUUUUGGACAAUGGGGGCAACCCUGAUCCAGCCAUGCCGCGUGAGUGAAGAAGGCC